AGGGAGAAAGAUGGCGCGACGUGGGAGAAAGAGUGAGACAAGAGUGCACAAGCGGUAUCAGAGAACAGCAGACGACGAGCAGGGAAAGUCAAGUUUAAUGUCGAAGUGAUUAAAGUUGUAGACCUGCAUACUUUAAGUAUUGACAUAAAUAUUAUUUUAGCAGAUUUAUAUCUCGUGAAACUUGCAGUUUAGCGACUCUACCGUGGUUCAAAGUGAAGUGCAGCUAGGCUGACCGCUAACCGCCGUUAUUGUUAUUUACUAGCUUGAAAAAGUCUCGGCUUGGACUCAAACGUGGACAUUUAAGCACGUAUGGCUAUCAGAGACAGUUAGUUAUAAACACCAGCCGCCACUUUCACUGAGGAGCAUCGGGAGAGCUGGAGGACUUCGCUGGAGGACCGUGUAUGCUAGUUAGCCUGUUGCUAAUGCUGUGACGAGGGACCCCGCCGCUGAACUUGGACACGGACGACACCUGUUGCAUCUCUGCUGCUGCUGCUUCAUCUUCACCGCCAACUCUUCAGACCUGCUUUGCAUCUUGGAUUGGCAAACAACGAAGCGCCAGAAAAGGAGAAUUGAUUUCGUGUGUGGAGAACUUCGAGUACCUGGGAUCAUGGAUGAGCUCUACAAAGCGAGACAUCAAGGUCAGAAAAGCAUUGGCAUAGAAAGCAUACUAUGAGUUAAAAAGCAUCUGGAAAACAAACACUGAUCGAGACAUCUUGGAAGGAUGUCUUACUCUGAGGGAGCACGGAGCAGCUCAGCCCAUGGGAGUUUAACUUCUAUUCUUCACAAGUCUUGUGACCAAGUAGCCGCAUCCUGACGGGGUGGCAUCCCUCUCAACUACACUGUGACUGUCAUGGCGGUUGUGAUUGCCAGUGGGGGAAAUAAGCAGCUCUGACAUGAGUGAAGCAGCCCCGGGCCCCGACACAUUACUGGACAGUAGGAGCCACACAUGCAGUGUGUCACAUCGGAUGAAAGACAAUCUUCAUCGCGUCCUUUCGCUGGUGUUUUAUGGCUCGAGCAAGUCUCCCAGUCUUCUUCUCCUUUCUACACCAAAGAACUACAGACUCUUCACAACCUGCUCAAACUCUUGGUACAGGACCUCACCACACGGGUCAAGAAGGUUUCCUUCUCAUUUCUACUCUGAAGCUCAUCUUCUCCUGCUCAAACUGCUGACAAAUGUUUCUGCUGCUCUAAAGUCUGCUCUCCAGAACUUCCUAAAAACUCUCAAAGUCUCUUCUGCUGCAGGUUGCUUUGUAGAACUGUUCCAGAAAACCUCACUAAACCACAUGGAGGGGCCUCAAGAUAGUCGUCCAAAUGAAUCCAUACAAAAACCAAACUAGCACAACCUAAACACUAAAGUCUACUGCAGCCUACCAGAGAACCUCUGAGAACAGAGAAUCAGGACAGGAACUCUUAUCUUCUGGACAACCAACGCUGGUUCACAAACAAGAAUACAGAAUGUGUCUGACCAAAAACCUCUAAAGACUCACUACAGCCAAGAUAAAGACACAACUCAGCUGCAUCAAAUCCACUAAUUACUGCACACAUUAGCACCAUGUGCUAACUGUGGCUAAAGAACCACAUUUACCAAGACAACUAUCCAGUACAAAGCCCUACAACACACCAAGAAACACAUUAAAGAUGAUUUUACUGCUGGAAGCUGCAAGCCAACGCCUAAAGAACAAACAAAAGCAAUGAAGCCAAACCCGGUUUAGUGGUGAAGAGAAGCAGAGGAAAUGUUUGUCUGCAGCUAAAUAAAGCAGGAAGACACUGAGCUGCUCAGGUGUUCCUGAUAACACCAAGCAGCCACCUGGACAGCCAAUAGGAACACAGCCACCUGGACAGCCAAUAGGAACACAGCCACCUGGACAGCCAAUAGGAACACAGCUUCCUGGAAGUCCAGAGGGUUGGCUUAGUGAAGGAAAUUUAGUUUAAAGUUGAAGCAGAAAGUUAACAAAGAAAGUUGAAAACCACCUUCUGAUCCCUGAAAUCUCUGAGUUUUCACACAAAGAACACCUGAACAUGUCAAACUGGUUCCAUAGUAGAACCAUCAUUGUAAAAACGUCAUAGUAUGGUGUGUUGCUCAAAAAACAUUAGGACCCGGCUGUCUGGAGUCGCCGAGGAGCAACACAAGAACAGGACAAACGCUGGUUUCCAGGGGGUUAGGAGGCUAUUUAUUUGAAAGAGUGAGUUUACAACAACACAACAUGUGAGCAGAAAAAUCACAAAGUCUGUCUUUAGUUCAGCUGAAAAUAUUAAACAACCUACAGAGGUUGUUUGUUGGGUGAGACUCUUGGACCUCCAUCAGCUGACGUGGAUGUUUGAUGGUCUUCCUCUCUAGUGCCAGAUGAUUCAUCCAUGAAUUCAGCAGCUACAGACUGAAAUGAAGCUCAUGCUGCCGUGAUUGAAUUCCUGUUCCAGUUCAAAUGUUCAGAGCUCACCUUGAAUGCAGCCGUCUGCUGAUAGUUUUUCUCAUUGUAGUCUUCAAUAAAGUCUUUUUCCUCAUGUCAGGAUGUGGUGAGACUCUUUCUCAGUCUCUGCAGACGUCCCUCAUUGUGCAUCUCCAGAGAAGAAACAGAAAACCUGCUCACUGCUUCAGCAUCACAAACGCUCUCCAGCAUUGAGAGUGUUUUAGGAAUUCAUUCAUUGUGUUGUGAACUUUGAAGGAGCAGAAACUUUAUAGCUGGCAAAGAUAUGAGCUCCAAUUCUGGAUGUUUUAGGAAAUGAAGUUCAUCAAAUGAACACUUGAUUUUUGCUGAUAACUCAUUAAAUUACUGAAGAAAUCUAACAUAAAAACCUGUAAACUCUCAGGCAGCUUUAGUUAAAGUUUGUCUAUAAUUCUAUCAUCACGUUCUGGAACCAGGACUCUGCAGAAGUUCCUUCAAUCAGAUACUUGUGUGUUUCUCUAUUUAAGGCCUCAGGUUUGAACGUACAGCAGAGGAUUAGAAAGGAGUGAUUUUAAUAUUUAAAUCAGUCCAGUAAAUGUUUGAAGUAAAAAUGAUUCAAAUUUAGAUUUAGAUAGAUUUGUGUCAUAAAUAAUAUUGUAGAGUCUCGCUUAAAUAAAUCCAUAUGAGUUCAGUGUAUUUACAUUUUAUAGAUUAUUUGAUUUCUUAAUCUCAAUACUGUAGGUCAUGCUGAUUAUAUGAUCAGUAAAUGUUACCAUCAAUUAUAACGUCCACAUUGAUCAGGAAAAAAACAACUAUCAGUUCAUUCAGAAACUGUGGGGUUAAACCUAAAAACACAGACCUCAACAGCAGUUUGUUUCAAAGCAGAACACCAGCUGGUUUUCACUAAAGAAGCUUUCAGAGCAACAAUUAAAUGACAGUUUUGUUCUCAUUAAGUUCACAGAGUCAGAAUCAGCCAAAAUAAUGUUUACACACAUCAGGAAAAGAAAAACUUUUAUAAAUAUUUCAUUUGUAUCAGUACUUCUAUACAUAUAGAUUCCUCUUUCUAAGUUUGAUCAAAUCACGAUAACUCUGUGUCCUGUUGUACGAUGUUUUCCCAACAGAUGGCGCUACCCUCAUGAAUGGAGCAUCAACAAGUGACGUCUGCAACACAACAGAAAUGUCUGGAAGCCAGUGGCCACCACUUUGAGCACCUCUUGUAAUUGUAGAGGCCAAAGAUAACUUUUAUUAAUCUGGUGAUGUCUGAAUAAAUUUGGUAUUGAAAUAUUUAUGCUAGUUUUUCUUUUCCUGAUGUGUGUAAACAUUAUUUUGGCUGACUCUGUAUAAUGGGUUUCUGACAGGUCACCAGGCAACAUCUUUUUAUAAUAAUGACAAACAUACCUGCAUUCUACAGGAGUGAUUUUCCUCAUGUGCAGGUAAAGAUGUGUGAGGAGUUUAGAGAUGACAGCAGCAGGAGUCAUCCUCACUAAUUCAGCUUCCACCUAGAAACAGAAGGACCACAAACAAACACACUGAUAUACUCUCAAACGUUCAACCUCACAGCCUCUAAAUAUCUGUUUAGGAAGUGUUGUGUUUCUAAAUUCUGCUGAAAGCACUGACAGACAUUCUCUUACAAGGUUGUGUAAAAAGCAGCCUGUCCUCUGAGCUACUGAGAAAUCUUCCUGAACAAAGUUUCUACGUGUAAAUCGACUAAACUAAAACUAAAGCCUCAGUCAGAGAUAACAGGUAGAAGAGCUCAUCCAUUUGUUUGGUAGAUUGUGGAACAUUAAUAACCAAAAGUAACCGAAUUUUAUUUUAUUUGGGUUGUUUAUUGCCAUGUGAAGUUGUGCACACUAUUUAGUGUGCAUGCUUGUGUGUGAAGUUUAAGGAUUAUGAGUAAAUUAGCUUUGAUGUCUGUGGUGCUAUAUUUUUAGAUCCACAGUGCACCUGUUUGUCCAAAUACAUGAUACUGAAUAGUAAUGGAACCUGGAAUCCUCACCAAAGAGAGGAUCAGAUAACACCAAUAUACCAAACUAAACUGUUUAGACUGUCUCCUCAAGUACUGACCAUUGGGAAGAAAGACAGUCGGAUGCCUUCUUACAAGGCUGCAGCGUUAACUGAUUAAUUUAAACCAUAAUGUUAAACAGCUAAUAAUAUUUUCCAAGUUAAGGACUGUACGGACAAUACUUGGAAGAAAAAACCUGAAGGUAUGAUCAGUAGGACCCUUUUGAUGGUUGGAUGGAGUUUAUUUUUUCUGCAGUUUUUAAGAGUGAAGUGAUUGAAUUUUAUUUACUACAAAAAUUCCUUAAAAUUCAGAUUUUUAAUUUAUUACCAAACCAGGAGUUGUAGUAUGACCAGCAGGAGACAACUGAAGGCUGCAGUAAAUUUGGUGACACUACAGUGUAUAAAAGUUAAGUAAUUGAAUAUUUGUUUAGUGUCUCUCUUCGCUGUUGCAGCGGUUUUGUAAUUUGCAGACGGUCCCUGUUCACUCGUUGCACAGCCAGCUGUGCAUAGACAUCAAUGUAAUUUCUGCAGCUUGAAAGACAGCUACUUUUGAUAAAAACUGGCCUUAUAGCACAUUGUCUAGCUUAUAACGAUGGGAAAGAGGCAUUGUUUAUGUUUUUACAACGUAUAUCUCAUGAGUUAUUGAUGCCGGAAGUCCGAAUCUGUGAAUAUCUUGCCAACUUUACCUAACUUUUCAGUUAACCUUAAGAAACAUUUUUAACAUUUCUUUUUUUCCACUAAAAGAUGUUCAAAGAUUUCCCAAAAAUGUUGAAAAUGUGGACAUCAAAAGUUUCACUGUGAGAAUAUAUUUUUUCCCACAUUUUCAAACUUUAAAACGGGUCAAUUUUGACCCGCAUGACGACACAAGGGUUAAGCUAAACUAAAUAAACUAACCAAACAAAAAUGUUCGCCUGAAAGUUGGCCUCGCUCCUUGCUCAUAUGAGGCCCCGCCCACUUUUCCAAAUAUGGUUUAAAAAAAAAAAAAAAAAAAAAAAAAAGCCAAGAUGGCAGGAAGUCGGAAACGAUAAAUCUGAGCGCAACUUCCGCUCUGCCUCUCAGUCCUGGAAGCAGAAACAUGGGGAGAAGGUGCCUGUUGGAGUUUCUGUUAACAAUAAAAUGGCAGCGGCCCUGUUGAAGAACCCUCACAGCUGAGUGUUAGCGAUGGGAUUGAGCUACCAACCACCUGCCUUGCCUGGUGGGGCUGAAGGCCGUCUCUGCUGAGCUGUUGCCUUCGGGGCGGACGGUCAUGCUGCCGACUGACUGAAGGUGAGUCUGGUUAAAUAAAUCUGUCUGGAUUAUAAAUCCGCUCCUCUGGAUGCUGUGAUGACUGAAUAAUAUAACACAUCAUGCAGACCAAACUCGGUGGUGAACUUUAAUUCCUGAGCAUAUCAGCUGACUGCCGGCAGACAGGAGUAGAAGCAUUACCUUCCACUGACUUUUCAAUCCUCUCCAGCUGCAUGUGGAGCCUCUGGUCUGCAGGGGGCAGUCCUCACCUUUAAGGAGCUCCAGCUGACUGCAGUGUAAUCCUGCUGCUGCUCUGGAUUGGUGGAUACGCUGCCGUCUAUCCGCCUGCUGGGAGCUGAUCAGUCAUCAAUAUGUCCGUCUGUUUAACUUCUUGAAGCUCAGGCUGCAACUACACAUUAUCUGCAGUACAUUUAAUCUACUGCUUUAUUUCUUUAACCCUCCUGUUGUCUUCAUUUACGGACACCAAAAAAUAUAGUUUCCUUCUCUGGAAAAAAUUCAAAAGUUCAGCAAAAAAAUUCCCAAAUAUCUGAAAAUUUGCAAAACCUUCAGGAAGAAAAUUCCUUAAUAGUUUCCCUUAAAAGUUUUAUAUAAAAAAUCCCCCCAAUUUUCACUGUGAAAUUAUGUUUUAUUCCACAUUUUCAAUCUUCAAAACGGGUCAAUAUGACCCACACGAUGACACGAGGGUUAAGUAUUUGUUAGGCCUGCAAAACUUCGAGAACCACAAACACUUUCAGACAUUCAGUUUCCAUUUUGAAGUUGAUCAAAUGUGAAAAUACUUGAAAUUUGUUCCCGAGGAGAAACAUAUCACUCAGAAUGUAGCAGUUAAAUGCCAUAUUCUUCUUGUUGAGACUCUUCACCACAGAUUUCAGGUGUUUCUCAUAGUCUUGCAAACAGUCAACAAACUCCUCAAAUUCCAGCUUUGAACCUUAAAACGUAAAAACCAACAAUGCACUCAAAUUAUUUUAAGCCACGCUUUUGGCUGGUUAAUGCCUCAGUCGCUUUUUCUGGAAUGUAAAAAAUGUGUUUGUGCGUUGACCCUGAGUUGUGUAUAAAUGUUUGAAUAAAAUGUUAUCUUUCUACACCUUUAUCUCAGUUUUUAUUUUUUUUUUAGUCAGUCUUUAUGUCAGCAUAAUGCAUGGUUUGCUGCAUAAAUCUAAAGCUAAACUUUGUCAGCAAAGCUCUUGAAAAGACUAAACUAAGCCCCAUUAGCUGAAGAUGCAAGCCUUAAAAAAACUGCACACAUUUCAUUUUGUUUUGAAAAGGCUCAUUAUUUCCCACAAACAGCUGGUGACUAUUUAGAGAAAACUUACUGAAAAAGGAAAUGUGUGUUUAGAGAGAGAUCUGUGUGGUGAUGUAUUUGUGGCAGCAGCAGCAGAGUUUCUGGUAAUUAUGGAACCUGUCAGAGGAACAGUGGGACUCCAUGUGUUUAAUCAUUUUUGGGGAAAGUAUGGAGCUCUUUGACAAGAUAUUAGGAUUUCAAUUUCAGCUGCAAUGAUGCAUUCCUUGUUUUAUUAUUCACAUUUAACAAAAUGUACAGAGUUUGUACUUUAAUGACAGUUGGCAGGCAGGUUGCUGCAUCUUUUGGUGGCUGAUUGACUCAAAAAGGACGCUGCAACACAAGUUUCUCAAUUUUCUUCCUGAAGGUUUUGCAAAUUUUCAGAAAUUUGGGGCAUGUUUUUUGCUGAAUAUUUGAAUUUUUUUCAGACAAGGAAACAAUAUUUUUUGGUGCCCAUUAAUGAGGACAACAGGAGGGUUAAACGUCACACUCCUUAUCGCUUUGAGAAGACUCAGUGUUUGGAUGUCCAGUGCCCAUCUAAGAAAACAAUAAUAGUAAUAAUAAUGAUAUGUUCAUCUGGUUACUGUUACUAUGAAGAAGUAAAAAGCUGACGUGUCACAGGAAGCAGAACCCCUCUGGGAAAUGGUAACUAGGGGCAGCUCCAAUAGGCCUUAUGUUUCUGAGAACUCCACCCAGAAAUAAUCUAAACAUACACAGAUCACUAUCCAAGACCUUGUAGGAAAUACAUACAUUUAAUUCGGCUCAUAUGUAAUCUAUGGACAUGCUUUUCUAGGGUUUAAAUUCUAAAAGGUCACUUUCAUAAAAGGACGCUUUUAUUUAAUGAACUUAUUGAGACAAAAUGUAUGAAAUAACAAAACAGGUUCCAAAAAGUAAUCUUUGGUAAACCUUUGGGGAAUGUUCCUACAGAAGACAUUCCCCAAAUGUUACUUAAAGGUUAAAUCAUCUUCGGGGAACCCUAAAGGAACAAUCUCUAAAGGUUCCCUGUAGAUUACUUUUUGUGGUCCUCAUAGAAUCUUCCAAAAACAUUGAGGAAACUUCAGGGAUUAUUCCAUAAAGGUUCCAAAAAGUAAUCUUUAGAAAACCUUUGGGGAAUGUCCCUAUAACAUUAAGGGAACCUUCAGGAGACAUUCCCAAAAUGUUACUUAAAGGUUAGAAAAAAAUCCUAAGGAACCCGUAAAAGGAACAAUCUCUAAAGGUUCCCUGUAGCUUAGUUUUUGUAACGUUCAGAGAAUGUUUCAAGAACAUUCAGGAAAUUUCAAGGAAUAUUCCUUAAGUUCAGAGAAUGUUCCCUAAAGUUUCCCUAAAGGUUCAGAAAAAAAAGUAAUCUUUAGCAAACCUUUGGGGAAUGUUCGUACAACAUUCAGGGAAUCUUCAAGAGACAUUCUCACAAUGUUAGUUGAAGGUUAAAAAAAUCUGUAGGGAACCCUAAAGGAACAAUCUCGAGAGGGUCCCUGUAGAUUACUUUUUGUAAUGUUCAGAGAACGUUCCUAUAACAUUCAGGAAACUUUAAGAAGCAUUCCCUAAAGUUUCCCUAAAAUUUCCAAAAAGGAAAUUUUGAGUAAACCUUUCAGGAAUGCUCAUCCAACAUUCAGGGAACCCUCAGGAGACAUUCCCAGAACGUUACUUGAAGGUUAAAAAAUCCUCAGGAAACCCUAAAAGGAACAUUCUCUAAAGGUUCCCUGUAGUUUCUUUUUGCAGCCCUCAGAGAACGUCCCUACCACUGUUCCCUCUAAGCUGCGCGCACUGCUGACACGGUCUCCGUGCACAGAAAAUCUGCGCUGCGCACACACAAAAAAAAUCCAACCUAAAUUGUAAAUAAAAUAAAUACGUAACAAUUCAUUCUGUGCUAUUUUUCAGUGUGAGUCAGUGAGUGACCGGUGACUGGCUGCUGCAGCCAAUGAUGCGAUUCACAUACGUAUUUACCAUAGACUGUAUAUAAUGGUAUUUACGCAGCUAAUCAACGUCAGGCGUCCUUAUGUGCAGCUACCGUUGUUGUCAUAGAUAUGAAUGAGUAGAUAGGACACGCCCCUUUGAGCUGCGUGCUACAGGGAGGCUAAGCUAGUGGGGGCAAAGUUUCAGUGCAUUCCGUUGAUGUAGACGGCGUGAAAACGGAAACAAGUAUGCCGUCUCACUGUGCUGCAUACAGUUACACACUGCGUCGUACGAUUGAGACAAGGAAACUUGGAAUGACUUUUCAUAGGUAAGAAUAGUUUUUGGCUCUUUUUUCAUUAUUAAAUCUUGUUGAGAGCUUCCAGUCUGUGAGAGCUAACUAGUUAGCCACUAGCAAAACGCUAAGGCGAGCUAGCAGCUUGACAAGCAAAUACCAGACGAUUAAUAGUAGCUGUAGUAUAGUUGUACAAGCAGUAGUAGUAAUACUAAAAGUACAAGCAGCAGUAGUAGUAUAAACAGCUGUUAGAGUCGUAGAAGUAGUAUCAGCAUUUGUAAUAGUAUUACAAGUUGUUGUAGCAGUGCCAGUAUCAGCAGUAGUGUGUACUACCACUACUACUAGUACUAGUCACAUUGCUAUUACUACCACCAAUACUACCAAUAGUAGUUAUAAAGCCUAACUCAUGUAUAUCCAGAUUACCAUCUAUGUUCUUCCUCCAAACCCAUUUUAUGAUUGGGAUUACAGGCAGUUCUUUAGGACUGCUCUCAAAUCAUUGAAAUGUUACUAAACAAGGUUAUACUUAUCAAAUUAAAUAACUUUGGUCUCCAGUAUAUUGGUGAAUUCAGUUAUUUGUACUUAAUUUAUUAGCAUGAUUUCUUUUUAAUAUGUUGUGUACAGACUUAAUUACUUCUCUGUCUACUUUUCUUACUCCAUGUAGGUUUCCCAGAGACUGUGGGUUGAGGAGGAAUUGGAAGUUUGUCGGCUUAGACCUGGUGUCAUUCCAUCAGUGUUAAACUUCCCGGCUCAUCUUGGAAGAGUACGUGCCAGAAAGACCACGACCAAGCAGCCUUGAGAUCUUAGACAGCGUCUCCCUCAGGUCCCUCUCUAUCUCCCCACACAUCCACCAACCACUGGAGCACAUCUCCAAAGUUCUGCUGGACCAGCUCAACUUCCCCUCAGAAGAAGUGCCGCCACCUGCCAGAUGAAGGAGCCUUUUGAGAGGCAGCUGGCAUCGUGAUUGGACUGUACUUUGGUCUGUUCCAAUCCAGCUUCAGCUCCAGAGACGGCAGGCAGGGACGAGUCAACGGAGGCCUGGUGGACGAAGGCAUGCAGCUGAGUACAAUCCAGAAAACAACAGAGGAGGAGUGCAGCAGCCCAGUACAGCCUUCGACCAAAGAACUACAGACUCUUCACAACCUGCUCAAACUCUUGGUACAGGACCUCACCACACGGGUCAAGAAGGUUUCCAUCUCAUUUCUACUCUGAAGCUCACCUUCUCCUGCUCAAACUGCUGACAAAUGUGUCUGCUGCUCUAAAGUCUGGUCUCCAGAACUUCCUAAAAACUCUCAAAGUCUCUUCUGCUGCAGGUUGCUUUGUAGAACUGUUCCAGAAAACCUCACUAAACCACAUGGAGGAGCCUCAAGAUAGUCGUCCAAAUGAAACCAUACAAAAACCAAACUAGUACAACCCAAACACUAAAGUCUCCUGCAGCCUACCAGAGAACCUCUGAGAACAGAGAAUCAGGACAGGAACUCUUACCUUCUGGACAACCAACGUUGGUUCACAAACAAGAAUACAGAAUGUGUCUGACCAAAAACCUCUGAAGACUCACUACAGCCAAGAUAAAGACACAACUCAGCUGCACCAAAUCCACUAAUCACUGCACACAUUAGCACCAUGUGCUAACUGUGGCUAAAGAACCACAUUUACCAAGACAACUAUCCAGUACAAAGCCCUAAAACACACCAAGAAACACAUUAAAGACCAUUUUACUGCUGGAAGCUGCAAGCCAACGCCUAAAGAACUAACUAAUGCAAUGGAGCCAAACCCGGUUCUGUGGUGAAGAGAAGCAGAAGAAAUGUUUGAAUGCAGCUAAAUAAAGCAGGAAGACACUGAGCUGCUCAGGUGUUCCUGAUGACACCAAGCAGCCACCUGGACAGCCAAUAGGAACACAGCUUCCUGGACAGCCAAUAGGAACACAGCUUCCUGGAAGUCCAGAGGGCUGGCUUAGUGAAGGAAAUUUAGUUUAAAGUUGAAGCAGAAAGUUAACAAAGAAAGUUGAAAACCACCUUCUGAUCCCUGAAAUCUCUGAGUUUUCACACAAAGAACACCUGAACAUGUCAAACUGGCUUCAUAGUAGAACCAUCAUUGUAAAAACAUCAUAGUAUGGUGUGUUGCUCAAAAAACAUUAGGACCCGGCUGUCAGGGGACAAACAUGUAAGAAACAUGAGAACAGAGAGAAUCCAAUCUGACCUACACUCUCUAUGGAGCAGGCAGGUGCUCCACAAAGCUAAGAGCAUUAUUGCACACCCUGACCAUGUACUGACACACAGGUUUGUGUUGAUGCCCUCUGGGAGGCGCUAUCUCGCUCCCAGGAGGAAAACAAACCGAUACAGCAACUCUUUUAUUCCUUCCACCAUUAGGCUUUUAAAUGACAGUGACCGUGUUGUUUUGUAGUUUUACAUGUAGUUUUAAAUGUAGUGAGGUAUAUAUUGAUACUGUUGCACUUUAUUGCUGAACCCUGACUAUUGACAGAUCCAAGUCAAAUGUAUGUGGAAUGUGUGUUUCAUGUCCUGUCCUGCUGCAACCCAUGUCUGUAAACUGAAUUGCCCCUAGGGGAUAAAUAAAGUUAUCUGAAUCUGAAUCAACCAGUAGGUCACAGUUUAUCAUCCCCCAGUCAUCUCCUGAAGUCCAUAUGGUGAGAGACAUCAGUAUCUGGUUGUUCAUUUACCAGAGGAUGCUUAUAAUCAUGCUGAUGUGGUCUGUACUCUACAGUAUUUUAGUGACUCAAUAAAUGCCUAAGUUGUUUUUUUUAAAUGCUUUUUAGUUUUUAAUAAACAUUUAAGAGCCUAUAUGUAAUCAAUAA